UACAGAGGUCUCAAGCGUUGUUCGGAUUCAUUGGGCGUAAAGGGCGCGUAGGCGGCGGGGUCAGUCGGGUGUGAAAUCUUGGGGCUUAACCCCGAAACGGCACUCGAAACUGCCCGGCUGGAGGGCCGGAGAGGAGAUCGGAAUUCACGGUGUAGCAGUGAAAUGCGUAGAGAUCGUGAGGAAGACCCGUGGCGAAGGCGGAUCUCUGGACGGCUAACUGACGCUGAGGCGCGAAAGCGUGGGGAGCAAACAGG
rnacentral:rRNA from 1 species